rnacentral:lncRNA from 1 species
UCUUUAACCCAUUGUCCCAUUCUUCGAUUUCCUGCGAACUCCGCCAUUAACCACCACCAUAGCCUCUAAUUCUAUCGAUCCCUCAAUCUUCUAUCAAAAUUUCAUUAUCCACUGUACCAUAACCAUAAUAUAUCUUUGAAUCAUUACGUGAGAAUUCGCCAGUGGUUGUUGUCGUCGUUGUGCAUCAGCCACCAUCGUUUAUCGCGCAUCGUUCAACUCAGGAGAAGGAGAAGAAUACGAAGAAGAAAGGAAAAAAAAGAAAAGAAAAAGGAAAGAAGCAAUCACGUGAAGAAAGGAAACAAAAUCAAAUGACCAUAUAACCCUUACUAUAAUAUUCUUAAGUUAAAAGGAAGAAAAAGAAAGGGUGAGUAUUAGCCCUAGGAUCAAGGAGAUGGAUGGAUAAGAUUGGGUACUACAUAC